rnacentral:rRNA from 1 species
CUGUUCCCAUGCCGAACACAGAAGUUAAGCUCCUUAGCGCCGAUGGUAGUUGGACUGACGUUCCGCUAGAGUAGGACGUUGCCAGGC